AAGAAAGACAGUCACCUCAACUAUUACCCCAUGAUGAUCAGGCUUUUAUUACUAUUUGUCGUUAUCUGUAUUCAGUCAGCCAGGAGUCAAGACGGUCGGUGUGACGGUCCGUUGAAGUGCUGUCGAGGAUUUGUAUACAUCGAAGAAGGAAAUAUCUGUUUGCCUUGCACGUAUCCAUCAUUUGGAUUAGCAUGCAGAGAAAACUGUACUUGUCCUGAAGAGAACUGCGACCGUUUUAAGGGAUGUUAUACAUUGAAAACUGCAAAAG